rnacentral:rRNA from 1 species
CAGCAGCCGCGGUAAUACGUAGGGUGCAAGCGUUGUCCGGAAUUACUGGGCGUAAAGAGUUCGUAGGCGGUUUGUCGCGUCGUUUGUGAAAACCAGCAGCUCAACUGCUGGCUUGCAGGCGAUACGGGCAGACUUGAGUACUGCAGGGGAGACUGGAAUUCCUGGUGUAGCGGUGAAAUGCGCGGAUAUCAGGAGGAACACCGGUGGCGAAGGCGGGUCUCUGGGCAGUAACUGACGCUGAGGAACGAAAGCGUGGGUAGCGAACAGGAUUAGAUACCCUGGUAGUCCACGCCGUAAACGGUGGGCGCUAGGUGUGGGUUCCUUCCACGGAAUCCGUGCCGUAGCUAACGCGUUAAGCGCCCCGCCUGGGGAGU